rnacentral:tRNA from 1 species
GCGCCCGUAGCUCAGAUGGAUAGAGUACCUGGCUACGAACCAGGUGGUCGGGAGUUCGAAUCUCUCCGGGCGCG